AGGAGUACAACAAGACUGUAUAUUGUCACAAUGUAAAUUUAACUUAUAUGCAGAGUACAUCAUGCAAAAGGCCAGGCUGGAAUUGGGCCAAUGCCCCAUUUUUCCAUCUUUGAUGGUCAGCCUUGGAACUGUCAUGGCGCUGGCGAGUGCAUCACGUAGCUUGCUGAUGUGUUCCACCUGGUGCAGCAUCUGACAUGGAGCAAGACUUCAGGAAGAAUUUCUUAUUGAGCGAAUGAGUGACUCAAGACCUCAGAGCUCCUUUUCCAGUGAAGAGGUGACUGAACCCUGAGUCUGACAUCAUGAAAACCUAAUCUAGACUUGAGCUCUGUUCUUUCUUAAUUGUAUGACUUUUGCCAAAUUAUUCCUUUUUGGCCUGAACUUUGUUUUCUCUGUAAAAGGGGACAAUGUGGGCCAUAAUUCCUUGUCUGCCAUUCUAUAAUAAAAAGUUUUGAUUUAUAAUGUUA